rnacentral:misc_RNA from 1 species
CGGGUGCUGCCCUUCUCGUGUACGGUUACAUUCCGGUGGCCUUAAGCAAAUCCGAGGGAGCUGGCUCUGUCCGGGCCGUGGUCCGGUUACCUGGCGCCCACCUGAUCAUCAGGUCCUCGGGAAUGCGUCAACCAAACGGUUGCGUGCGGGCCCGCC